rnacentral:rRNA from 1 species
UGAACGCUGGCGGCGUGCUUAACACAUGCAAGUCGCACGAGAACGCUUUAGCUUGCUAAAGUUAGUAAAGUGGCGCACGGGUGAGUAACGCGUGGGUAAUCUACCCUUGAAUUGGGGAUAACAUUGCGAAAGCGAUGCUAAUACCGAAUAAUAUCUUUUAUUUCAAGGAUUGAAAGAUCAAAGGUGGCCUCUUCUUGAAAGCUACUGUUUGAGGAUGAGCCCGCGUCCCAUUAGCUUGUUGGCGGGGUAAUGGCCCACCAAGGCGACGAUGGGUAGCUGGUCUGAGAGGAUGAUCAGCCACACUGGAACGGACACACGGUCCAGACUCCUACGGGAGGCAGCAGUGAGGAAUUUUGCGCAAAGGGGGAAACCCGGACGCAUAGACGCCGCGUGAGUGAAGAAGGCUUUCGGGUCGUAAAGCUCUUUCAAGGGGGAAGAACCUACUUUGGAUUAAAACUCCAAAGUACUGGCCGUUCCACUGAAGUUAGCACCGGCUAACUUC